rnacentral:rRNA from 1 species
GACGAACGCUGGCGGCGUGCCUAAUGCAUGCAAGUAGAACGCACAGUUUAUACCGUAGCUUGCUACACCAUAAACUGUGAGUUGCGAACGGGUGAGUAACGCGUAGGUAACCUGCCUGGUAGCGGGGGAUAACUAUUGGAAACGAUAGCUAAUACCGCAUAAUAUUGAUUAUUGCAUGAUAAUUGAUUGAAAGAUGCUAUUGCAUCACUACCAGAUGGACCUGCGUUGUAUUAGCUAGUAGGUGAGGUAACGGCUCACCUAGGCGACGAUACAUAGCCGACCUGGGAGGGUGAUCGGCCACACUGGGACUGAGACACGGCCCAGACUCCUACGGGAGGCAGCAGUAGGGAAUCUUCGGCAAUGGACGAAAGUCUGACCGAGCAACGCCGCGUGAGUGAAGAAGGUUUUCGGAUCGUAAAGCUCUGUUGUAAGAGAAGAACGGGUGUGAGAGUGGAAAGUUCACACUGUGACGGUAUCUUACCAGAAAGGGACGGCUAACUACGUG